rnacentral:rRNA from 1 species
UACGAAGGUGGCAAGCGUUGUUCGGAUUUACUGGGCGUAAAGAGCUCGUAGGCGGCUUGCCGCGUCGACUGUGAAAACCCGCGGCUCAACCGCGGGCUUGCAGUCGAUACGGGCAGGCUAGAGUUUGGUAGGGGAGACUGGAAUUCCUGGUGUAGCGGUGAAAUGCGCAGAUAUCAGGAGGAACACCGGUGGCGAAGGCGGGUCUCUGGGCAGUAACUGACGCUGAGGAGCGAAAGCGUGGGGAGCGAACAGG